AUACGUAGGGGGCGAGCGUUAUCCGGAAUUAUUGGGCGUAAAGAGUACGUAGGUGGUUUUGUAAGCGUGAGGUGAAAGCCCGGGGCUUAACUCCGGCGAGCCUCACGAACUGCAAGACUUGAGUGCAGGAGGGGAAAGUGGAAUUCCUAGUGUAGCGGUGAAAUGCGUAGAUAUUAGGAGGAACACCGGUGGCGAAGGCGACUUUCUGGAAUGUAACUGACACGGAGGUACGAAAGCGUGGGGAGCAAACAGGAUUAGAUACCCUGGUAGUCCACGCCGUAAACGAUGAGCACUAGUUGUUGGGACCGAGAGGUUUCGGUGACGCAGUUAACGCAAUAAGUGCUCCGCCUGGGGAGUACGCACGCAAGUGUGAAACUCAAAGGAAUUGACGGGG
rnacentral:rRNA from 1 species